rnacentral:misc_RNA from 1 species
AAGUCGUAACAAGGUUUCCGUAGGUGAACCUGCGGAAGGAUCAUUAACAAAUCAGUUAUAUGGCUUCGGCCAUAUAAAUUAACCCCAAGCCUGGGAUUGUUCUACAUGAACGGGCUUUGGUUGGGCCGUAUCCCUUGUGGGUAUGGUCCCGGCAAGUGCGCUUCGGUGCACUGGCCACAUAGACGCUUGUACUGUUUGACAGAGUAAGUUGCAUUAAAAAAUACAA